AGAGUUUGAUCCUGGCUCAGGACGAACGCUGGCGGCGUGCUUAACACAUGCAAGUCGAGCGGAAAGGCCCUUCGGGGUACUCGAGCGGCGAACGGGUGAGUAACACGUGAGCAACCUGCCCCUGGCUCUGGGAUAGCUCCCGGAAACGGGGAUUAAUACCGGACAUGACUCCCUUGGGCAUCUGGGGGGGUGGAAAGUUUUUCGGCCAGGGUGGGGCUCGCGGCCUAUCAGCUUGUUGGGGGGGUGACGGCCCACCAAGGCGACGACGGGUAGCCGGCCUGAGAGGGCGACCGGCCACACUGGGACUGAGACACGGCCCAGACUCCUACGGGAGGCAGCAGUGGGGAAUAUUGCGCAAUGGGCGGAAGCCUGACGCAGCGACGCCGCGUGCGGGAUGAAGGCCUUCGGGUUGUAAACCGCUUUCACCAGGGACGAAGCGUGAGUGACGGUACCUGGGGAAGAAGCGCCGGCUAACUACGUGCCAGCAGCCGCGGUAAUACGUAGGGCGCAAGCGUUGUCCGGAAUUAUUGGGCGUAAAGAGCUCGUAGGCGGCUGGUUGCGUCUGCUGUGAAAUCCCGGGGCUUAACCCCGGGCGUGCAGUGGAUACGGGCCGGCUGGAGGCAGGCAGGGGAGAAUGGAAUUCCCGGUGUAGCGGUGAGAUGCGCAGAUAUCGGGAGGAACACCGGUGGCGAAGGCGGUUCUCUGGGCCUGUACUGACGCUGAGGAGCGAAAGCGUGGGGAGCGAACAGGAUUAGAUACCCUAGUAGUCC
rnacentral:rRNA from 1 species